rnacentral:miRNA from 1 species
AGUCAGUUGUUGUUGUAUAUAGA